GACGAACGCUGGCGGCGUGCUUAACGCAUGCAAGUCGAACGGAAAGGCCCUGCUUUUGUGGGGCGCUCGAGUGGCGAACGGGUGAGUAACACGUGAGUAACCUGCCCUUGACUUUGGGAUAACUUCAGGAAACUGGGGCUAAUACCGGAUAGGAGCUCCUGCUGCAUGGUGGGGGUUGGAAAGUUUCGGCGGUUGGGGAUGGACUCGCGGCUUAUCAGCUUGUUGGUGGGGUAGUGGCUUACCAAGGCUUUGACGGGUAGCCGGCCUGAGAGGGUGACCGGCCACAUUGGGACUGAGAUACGGCCCAGACUCCUACGGGAGGCAGCAGUGGGGAAUAUUGCACAAUGGGCGGAAGCCUGAUGCAGCAACGCCGCGUGCGGGAUGACGGCCUUCGGGUUGUAAACCGCUUUCGCCUGUGACGAAGCGUGAGUGACGGUAAUGGGUAAAGAAGCACCGGCUAACUACGUG
rnacentral:rRNA from 1 species